rnacentral:rRNA from 1 species
GAUGAACGCUGGCGGCGUGCUUAACACAUGCAAGUCGAACGAUGAAGCCCAGCUUGCUGGGUGGAUUAGUGGCGAACGGGUGAGUAACACGUGAGUAACCUGCCCUUAACUCUGGGAUAAGCCUGGGAAACUGGGUCUAAUACCGGAUAGGAGCGUCCACCGCAUGGUGGGUGUUGGAAAGAUUUAUCGGUUUUGGAUGGACUCGCGGCCUAUCAGCUUGUUGGUGAGGUAAUGGCUCACCAAGGCGACGACGGGUAGCCGGCCUGAGAGGGUGACCGGCCACACUGGGACUGAGACACGGCCCAGACUCCUACGGGAGGCAGCAGUGGGGAAUAUUGCACAAUGGGCGCAAGCCUGACGCAGCGACGCCGCGUGAGGGAUGACGGCCUUCGGGUUGUAAACUCCUUUCGUCAGGGACGAAGCGAAAGUGACGGUACCUGGAUAAGAAGCACCGGCUAACUACGUG